rnacentral:rRNA from 1 species
ACGAACGCUGGCGGCAUGCUUCAUACAUGCAAGUUGAACGCCCCGCAAGGGGAGUGGCGGAAGGGUGAGUAACGCGUAGGAAUCUGCCCUGGAUUGGGGGAUAACCUGAGGAAACUUGGGCUAAUACCGCAUAUUGCCGAAAGGUGAAAGAUUUAUUGAUCCAGGAUGAGCCUGCGUAUGAUUAGCUAGUUGGUAGGGUAAUGGCCUACCAAGGCUUCGAUCAUUAGCUGGUCUUAGAGGAUGAUCAGUCACAAUGGAACUGAGACACGGUCCAUACUUCUACGGAAGGCAGCAGUAGGGAAUUUUGCGCAAUGGACGAAAGUCUGACGCAGCAAUGCCGCGUGUAGGAAGAAGCAUCUUGGUGUGUAAACUACUGUCGGCGGGGAAAAACUCAAUGAUUGUACCCGCAAAGGAAGCAUCGGCUAACUACGU